AUCUCUCAAAACCCCCUUUUGUUUAAUUACGGAAGAGUAUAGGGCUUUGGAUGUUGACUGUGUAAUGCCGUUUAUAAUGGCUCAGUCGAAAUACAAGAGCUGAAGCUGAUAAUUGUAUUAUGGCUUACUCUGGACUUGGCGUGAUAAUUAUUUCGCUAAUGAACGAGUUUGUUAACGAUUAUCAAGCGGGCUAAUAAAGCACAACUUUUUAC
rnacentral:misc_RNA from 1 species